AUGGCCACCACGCGACUCCGCCUCCUACUCCUCCUAUUCACGCUGCUCGCCGGCACCGCCGUCUUCUCCGUCUCCGCCGCCCGCGACGCCCCUGCCGAGCCGGCCGUCGCGGGUCCGGUCGGCGCGGAGCCGAGCGCCUACGAGAUGUUGGAGAAAUUUGGCUUCCCAAAGGGAAUACUCCCGGUGGGCGUCACCGGCUACACGCUCCGGCGGUCGGACGGCGCGUUCCAGGUGUUCAUGGACAAGGAUUGCGAGUUCGAGGUGGACGGCGGGUACAAGCUUACCUACAAGCGGACGAUCUCCGGCAGGGUGGCCGGCGGCAGCUUGUGGGACCUCCGGGGCGUCUCGGUGAAGAUCUUCUUCGUCAACUGGGGCAUCGACCAGGUGGUCAUGGCCGACGCCGACCACCUCAUGUUCUACGUCGGCCCGCUCUCCCAGGCCUUCACGUCGGACAACUUCGAGGAGUCCCCGCAGUGCAGGUGCCGUGGCAACGGCGUCGCGGACGUUGGCGAGGGCGCCGGCGUGGGCGUGGCGACGAUGUAG
rnacentral:rRNA from 1 species